rnacentral:SRP_RNA from 1 species
GCCGGGCGCAGUGGCGUGCGCCUGUAAUCCGGCUACUCGGAGGCUUGGGUUGAGGAUCGCUUGAGGACGGGAGCUCUGCGCUGUGCCGCGCUAUGCCGAUCGGGCGUCCACGCCAAGUCCGGCAUCGACAUGGGGAGCCAGGGGGAGCCCUGCGCUCUCCAGGUCGCCUAAGGAGGGACGAAACGGCCCAGGCCGGCGACGGAGCAGGUUAAAGUCCCCGUGCCGAUCAGUGGUGGGAUAGCGCCUGUGAAUAGACGGUACAGAGCAGCCCGGCCGAUAUGGCGGCACCCAACCCUUU